rnacentral:rRNA from 1 species
AUUGAACGCUGGCGGCAUGCCUUAGACAUGCAAGUCGAACGGCAGCACGGGAGCAAUCCUGGUGGCGAAUGGCGAACGGGUGAGUAAUAUAUCGGAACGUGCCCAGUCGUGGGGGAUAACGCAGCGAAAGCUGUGCUAAUACCGCAUACGAUCUAAGGAUGAAAGCGGGGGAUCGCAAGACCUCGCGCGAUUGGAGCGGCCGAUAUCAGAUUAGCUAGUUGGUGGGGUAAAGGCCCACCAAGGCGACGAUCUUUAGCUGGUCUGAGAGGACGACGAGCCAAACUGGAACUGAGACACGGUCCAGACUCCUACGGGAGGCAGAAGUGGGGAAUUUUGGACAAUGGGCGCAAGCCUGAUCCAGCAAUGCCGCGUGCAGGAUGAAGGCCUUCGGGUGGUAAACUGCUUUUGUACGGAACGAAACGGCCCUUUCUAAUACAGGGGGCUAAUGACGGUACCGUAAGAAUAAGCACCGGCUAACUACGUGCCAGCAGCCGCCGUAA